AAAUUUCGCACCCUUCUUUUUAUGUUUGAUUUUACGUCAAUCAAAUCCAAAUUCCCUUUCAACACCAACAAUGACCGAAUCAACGUGCAGUGCCAAACAAGGGUCCGUGAUGGGUAGCUGAUUCAGUCCGUGAUGGGCAGCUGAUUCAAUUUUCUCUUAUUUUUUUAUGUUCAUAUUUAUUCACAAAAAAAUUAUCGGUAAAUUUAUCAAUUUUAUCAAUGAAAAAAAUGUUAUAAAAAAUUUUUGAAUGAAAUGAAAGAAAAGUUUUCUUUCGAGUUUGUUAUUUUUUAAUCUUUAGUCGAUGAACAUCCUAUACUAAUGCAUAUGGAUCCAUUUUUUACAAUGAUA
rnacentral:lncRNA from 1 species